AUAUAGUCUGCAUACAUAUAUAUACACACAUUUAAUCCUCGAUUACCCAAAACCCCUUUAAAAGUUUGCCUCUUUUGUCCACCAAGAUUUAGUUUUUUCUCUCCAACCCUUUUGUUGGUUAAGAUGGUUUUGAUGAUAUAUUAUCGUGAAGCUGGUUUCUAGGCGUUUUGUCUAGUCCGUGUGCUUCCUCUUCAAUCACCAUUCUCCGGUAAAUGGGCUGCUAUUGUUCUAAGGUGAAAAAGCAGUUUCGUGGAUACGAAGAUCCUACAGUCCUUGCGUCACAAACAGCGUUUAGUGUUAGUGAAGUAGAAGCAUUGUUUGAGCUGUUCAAGAGUAUUAGCAGUUCGGUAAUUGACGAUGGGCUAAUAAGCAAGUUGAUCACUUAAAGAGGUAGGUUUUGGAGAAUAUUUCGGCUUGGUGACAAGAAAUUGAGAAGGCAUUUGUUAUUUACGGG